rnacentral:rRNA from 1 species
GAACGGCAGCAUGAUCUAGCUUGCUAGAUUGAUGGCGAGUGGCGAACGGGUGAGUAAUACAUCGGAACGUGCCCUGUAGUGGGGGAUAACUAGUCGAAAGAUUAGCUAAUACCGCAUACGACCUGAGGGUGAAAGUGGGGGACCGCAAGGCCUCAUGCUAUAGGAGCGGCCGAUGUCUGAUUAGCUAGUUGGUGGGGUAAAGGCCCACCAAGGCGACGAUCAGUAGCUGGUCUGAGAGGACGAUCAGCCACACUGGGACUGAGACACGGCCCAGACUCCUACGGGAGGCAGCAGUGGGGAAUUUUGGACAAUGGGCGAAAGCCUGAUCCAGCAAUGCCGCGUGUGUGAAGAAGGCCUUCGGGUUGUAAAGCACUUUUGUCCGGAAAGAAAUGGCUCUGGUUAAUACCUGGGGUCGAUGACGGUACCGGAAGAAUAAGGACCGGCUAACUACGUGCCAGCAGCCGCGGUAAUACGUAGGGUCCAAGCGUUAAUCGGAAUUACUGGGCGUAAAGCGUGCGCAGGCGGUUGUGCAAGACCGAUGUGAAAUCCCCGAGCUUAACUUGGGAAUUGCAUUGGUGACUGCACGGCUAGAGUGUGUCAGAGGGGGGUAGAAUUCCACGUGUAGCAGUGAAAUGCGUAGAGAUGUGGAG